CAGUAGCCACGGGAAUACGAAGGGGGCUAGCGUUGUUCGGAUUUACUGGGCGUAAAGGGUGCGUAGGCGGAUUGUUAAGUCAGGGGUGAAAUGCCGAGGCUCAACCUCGGAACUGCCUUUGAUACUGGCGAUCUUGAGUAUGGGAGAGGUGCGUGGAACUCCGAGUGUAGAGGUGAAAUUCGUAGAUAUUCGGAAGAACACCAGUGGCGAAGGCGACACACUGGCCCAUUACUGACGCUGAGGCUCGAAAGCGUGGGGAGCAAACAGGAUUAGAUACCCCAGUAGUCCCUGUCUCUUAUAC
rnacentral:rRNA from 1 species